rnacentral:pre_miRNA from 1 species
UAACUACUCCCUCCGUCCGGAAAUACUUGUCAUCAAAAUGGAUAAAAGGGGAUGUAUCUAGGCGUAUUUUAGUUCUAGAUACAUCUCUUUUCACUCAUUUUGAUGACAAGUAUUUCCGGACGGAGGGAGUAUUAG